CGCUUCACACGCACACCAACCAUCGAAGCCGCCGAAUGCGACGCCGAAAUCACCGCCGGUAGCCUGAGGGUCUCAUGCCGCCGCCACUCGCCCCUUUCUCUGUAGGUCGCCGACGCAACCCUGGAUCCCUGGAUCGUCCCCUCGUUCCCACCAGGCUCGAGGAGGCCCAAGGAGGCAGGCAUGAGGAGCGCUCAGCCGCAGGCGCCAUGGGCAGAUCUAGCCGGGGCCGUCGGCAGCCAUCCCUCCCUCCGGCGGCCAUGAAGAAUUGAAGAGGCUUGAGCGCAUGGACCGUGCGUGCCUCCCGCGCUAUGAGCUACCUGUCCUCGUCAUCUGCUAGCAUCCACGAGGAAUCGAUCCAUAUAAUGUUUGCGGGGAGCUCGGUUAGUGUCGACACCUCAAGGGUUUAUGCAUAUCAGUUCCAUGUUGCUUAAAGCCACUGUAAUGAUGGCUACUGGUUCCAGAUUCAAAAGAAGGAUAAUUGAGUUGCAUCUGAGUUCUCCGGUUGGAUGAAGAAGCAAAUAAAACUAGAAGAUUAUACUUAGCAAUAACCGGAGUUUACAUUGAUCGAUUGAAAAAAAAUGUAAUGCCAUUCACAAGAUGCUACAGUGUAAUAUUCUCCAUAGAUCUGUUCUCUAUAGUCAAAUUGAUAUGAAUGAUAUGUUGUUGCACCAAUAACAUUGGUAUUUAUUUAUUUUAAUGCAUAUGUAUCCUACACUCUUGUAUAUUCAUAAUAAAUACCAUGAUAUUUUCAA